GGAGAGGUGACAGAGCGGCCGAUUGUGCGGCACUGGAAAUGCCGUGUGCCUCCGGGCACCGGGGGUUCGAAUCCCCCCCUCUCCGCCA
rnacentral:tRNA from 1 species